rnacentral:lncRNA from 1 species
UCGACUGGUCCUGGAUUUAUGGUUUUGUUUACAUAAAAUUUUCUGCUAUCUUGGUAAUAUAAAUUUUGGCGCCAUUGUCACUUAACAUACCACAUCCUAUAAUCAAAUAUCCUUCACUGUCUAUACACAAUGAAUACGGUUCUUCAAUGUUGUAUUCAUUAUCAACAAACUGCAGACCAAGAAGUUCUCCUCUUGAAUUCAAAACAU